CCUACGGGAGGCAGCAGUGGGGAAUAUUGGUCAAUGGGCGAGAGCCUGAACCAGCCAAGUCGCGUGAGGGAGUACUGCCCUAUGGGUUGUAAACCUCUUUUGUCGGGGAGCAAAAGCCGGACGUGGCCGGCUGUGAGAGUACCCGAAGAAAAAGCAUCGGCUAAAUCCGUGCCAGCAGCCGCGGUAAUACGGAGGAUGCGAGCGUUAUCCGGAUUUAUUGGGGUUAAAGGGUGCGCAGGCGGAUUUUUAAGUCAGCGGUCAAAUCGUGGGGCUCAACCCCAUCCAGCCGUUGAAACUGGAGAUCUAGAGUGUGCGAGAGGUAUGCGGAAUGCGUGGUGUAGCGGUGAAAUGCAUAGAUAUCACGCAGAACCCCGAUUGCGAAGGCAGCAUACCGGUGCACAACUGACGCUCAGGCACGAAAGCGUGGGUAUCGAACAGGAUUAGAUACCCUUGUAGUC
rnacentral:rRNA from 1 species